rnacentral:ncRNA from 1 species
UUAGCUAUUUUAGAUGAGUUUGUAUUCAUGAGUAUCGUGGAUGCAAACAAUGCAAAACGCAAGUUUGUAUCUAUGAUGGCUAAGGGAUUUAAGCAUGACUUUUAAGCCGCAUAGAUGAAAAUCUAUAGUGGCUUUUUAUAUUAUCUUUUUUGCAAGGUAUUCACUGUAGAUUUUCUGUAAAUUUAC